rnacentral:rRNA from 1 species
UACGGGGGGGGCAAGCGUUGUUCGGAAUUACUGGGCGUAAAGGGCGCGUAGGCGGCCUGCUAAGUCGGACGUGAAAUCCCUCGGCUCAACCGAGGAACUGCGUCCGAUACUGGUGGGCUUGAAUCCGGGAGAGGGAUGUGGAAUUCCAGGUGUAGCGGUGAAAUGCGUAGAUAUCUGGAGGAACACCGGUGGCGAAGGCGGCAUCCUGGACCGGUAUUGACGCUGAGACGCGAAAGCGUGGGGAGCGAACAGG